AUUGCUUCUUGGCCUUUUGGCUAAGAUCAAGUGUAGAAUUAGUGGUAUUGAGGAAGAUAAGUUGGUAAAUGUAUUAUCCCCCCAUGAAGACUUCAAAAGGGAUAAGUCAAUAUUAAUUGAUUAGUCAGAUAAAUGAUGGCACAUU
rnacentral:snRNA from 1 species